ACCCAUUGAGUGAAUGUGUUCGUCUCUUCACCUUCAUCACCCUUGCCUGAACUUUGAUAUUCCAGCCAAUUUUCAGAUCUCAUGAAUUUCCACAGCUUACCAGAAGAGAGCUUCAAUAUCUCUAUCUCUGGAAACUGAACAAGAUCCCUGCUAAUAUCACCAAUGUCGCCGUGGCCGAUGCCCUCCAAUCUCUUCAUACCGUAAGCUGUUAUGUUUUUGUUUUCAUUUGAUUUGUUGAUUUGUAUUCUUCAUCGCAGCUGAUUCGUAAUUGAUUGGUUGAUUUUUUUAUUGUAACUGGUUGGCAUUCUUUUCGAUCAACAAACUCCAAAUCUUCAUUCAUUAUUCAUGGUUCUGCAAAUCAAACAUGGAUUUCAUGAAGGUGAUCGAUCAGACCGUGCGUGAAAUAAAGAGAGAGGUGAAUUUGAAAGUAUUGAAGGUUCCUGAGAUCGAACAGAAGGGCGGUUUCCCAAAAUAUGAAAAACAGACAAAAUUCUCAUGUGCUGGUGGGUAUUCACCGACCUCACCCAUAUGAUCCUUUUGGUUAUUUUGUUUUCACCCCUGAGUUUUUCAAGCAGAAGAAUCCUACUUACCUCGCAGAAGUUU